AUGACGUUUUCGUCUUUUGAGCUUCUAGUCAUGAAAUCUAUGCAGCCUACUCACUCACUUUUUAUAGCUACUGUUUAUAGGCCUCCUGGGCCAUAUGCAGUGUUCCUCACUGAGUUCCCUGAAUUCCUAUCGGAUCUUGUAGUCAUAGCAGAUAAUAUUCUAAUUUUUGGUGACUUUAACAUUCACAUGGAAAAGUCCACAGACCCACUCCAAAAGGCUUUCGGAGCCAUCAUCGACUCAGUGGGUUUUGUCCAACAUGUCUCUGGACCUACUCACUGCCACAGUCAUACUCUGGACCUAGUUUUGUCCCAUGGAAUAAAUGUUGUGGAUCUAAAUGUUUUUCCUCAUAAUCCUGGACUAUCGGACCACCAUUUUAUUACGUUUGCAAUUGCAACAAAUAAUCUGCUCAGACCCCAACCAAGGAGCAUUAAAAGUCGUGCUAUAAAUUCUCAGACAACCCAAAGAUUCCUUGAUGCCCUUCCAGACUGCCUCUGCCUACCCAAGGACGUCAGAGGACAAAAAUCAGUUAACCACCUAACCGAGGAACUCAAUUUAACCUUGCGCAAUACCCUAGAUGCAGUUGCACCCCUAAAAACUAAAAACAUCUGUCAUAAGAAACUAGCUCCCUGGUAUACAGAAAAUACACGAGCUCUGAAGCAAGCUUCCAGAAAAUUGGAACGGAAAUGGCGCCACACCAAACUGGAAGUCUUCCGACUAGCUUGGAAAGACAGUACCGUGCAGUAUCGAAGAGCCCUUACUGCUGCUCGAUCAUCCUAUUUUUCCAACUUAAUUGAGGAAAAUAAGAACAAUCCGAAAUUUCUUUUUGAUACUGUCGCAAAGCUAACUAAAAAGCAGCCUUCGCAAAUGGAGGAUGGCUUUCACUUCAGCAGUAAUAAAUUUAUGAACUUCUUUGAGGAAAAGAUCAUGAUCAUUAGAAAGCAAAUUACAGACUCCUCUUUAAAUCUGGGUAUUCCUCCAAAGCUCCAUUGUCCUGAGUCUGCACAACUCUGCCAGGACCUAGGAUCAAGGGAGAUACUAAAGUGUUUUAGUACUAUAUCUCUUGACGCAAUGAUGAAAAUAAUCAUGGCCUCCAAACCCUCAAGCUGCAUACUGGACCCUAUUCCAACUAAACUACUGAAAGAGCUGCUUCCUGUGCUUGCCCCUCCUAUGUUGAACAUAAUAAACGGCUCUCUAUCCACCGGAUGUGUACCAAGCUCACUAAAAGUGGCAGUAAUAAAGCCUCUCUUGAAAAAGCCGAAUCUUGAUCCAGAAAUUAUAAAAAACUAA
rnacentral:lncRNA from 8 species